rnacentral:rRNA from 1 species
UACGGGGGGAGCAAGCGUUGUUCGGAUUUAUUGGGCGUAAAGAGCGUGUAGGCGGCCGUACAGGUCAGCUGUGAAAACUCGAGGCUCAACCUCGAGACGUCGGUUGAAACCGUACGGCUAGAGUCCGGAAGAGGAGAGUGGAAUUCCCGGUGUAGCGGUGAAAUGCGCAGAUAUCGGGAAGAACAUCGGUGGCGAAAGCGCUCUGCUGGACUGCAACUGACACUCAGGGACGAAAGCUAGGGGAGCGAAUGGG